rnacentral:lncRNA from 1 species
AUCUCUGCAAGGCUCCUCCCUCACUUCCUUCAGUCUUUGCUCCAAAGACACUCCGAGUAAGGCCACUUCCCAUCAUGCUGCCCUGUUUUGCUUAUAGUUUUUCCUAAGCAUGGGUCAUCGUCUAACAUUCUACGUGUCUGACUCAUUUAACUUCUUGGUCAAGGGCACCAGUGCUUCUUGCGGGCGGGCAUUCCUUCUGUCUGGUGGGCUCACUGCUGUGGCCCCAGGUUUGGAGCCUAGAGCAGCACCUGGUGCAGAACAGAGACUCAAGGAAGGAAGUGGGGGGAGGCGGAGGCAAGGACAGACAGCACGUGUGUGCGGGGAGCCCAGUGAGGGGACAGGACACAGCUGCUGGGAACCUGUGCUAAGCCCUUCUGGUAUCUCCUCUCAGACUGGGCUCCUAAAGUGGCCCUGGCUUCUCUUUACUGCACAUCCAUCCAACGAGCUUUAAGCCCCUUGCCCAACACACCAGACAGUUCAUGAGGCCAUGGUGACAAAGUGGCGGGGAAAGAGUGCCCAUCUUCAGGGAGGUGACCUUCUGGCUGGCAUGUGCUCAGGGACUGAAAGAGGAAAAUCCAGCAGAACCACAUCCACGGCGUUAGCUGUAGCCUGUCCUCUCAACAGGCAAGGUGUUUGCUCUUCAUGGUUUUUUUUUUCCCCUAAAACUGAAUGAAGAAAUGAUUCAUCCCCCAUAAAUGAGGGUUAAGAGCAGUCAAGUCAGUGCUGCAGAAGAGACGAUGCCUUAAAUUUCCUUUUCAGCUGGAAAUCAGCCUUAUGAUCUGCUGGGCGGUGAGAUUUCAAAUCCCUCUGAACAGAUUCCCCCCCAAAUCCCUAGGAUUUUAAUUUAAAAAAUAACUGUAGUGUAAUUUGACCCUCAGCACACUUGUCGGGAAUAAAUUCUUUGAGAAAUCCAGCUUGUGCACACGCACGAAUGCAUAAUCAUUUAAAUGCAGAAAGUACAAAAACCCAUGUCAGCUAUUAAGUUGGAUUUAAAAGGCAUCAGGUGGUGAAUUUGAUGCUGAACACAAAAUCUUGGGAACCUGAAAUGCUUUCCAAAUCUCAAUUCACAGAUUUUUUUGUUUUUUUUUUUUUGUUUUUUUGUCAACCAAAGAAUUCUCAGCAGAUGGAAGCAAAUCCAUAAACUCAGAGCAUGGUGUCCCUAGGGGAGGGGGUUGGCUUUAGAUCAGAUACGUGCAUGCUGGGAUGCUCUGGGAAAUUGGAAAUAUGGACAAAACACAUCCAGCCUUAGUCCAGACCCAGUGGAGUGAUUUCCUGCAGCUCCACCUUCCUAAACCCUGUGCAGCUGUCUAUUCAAUGGGAGAAAAGAGGGAAGCCUUUGGAGAAAUAACUGCAAUGCCCAUGAAGCUACUAAAUUAAUGUUUCGCUACGUUCCACCAAAAUAAGAGGCUCAGUAGUGCAAGUCCUUAAAAUUCUCUAGAACUGAACAGAAGAAAGGGAUGUGACCGAGAUAUUUGGAGGUUUGUCUGCCAGAAGCCGAGCUUGUGAUGCACAUAAAUAACUCACCUAGCUGCUCUUCUCCAUCUAUUACAAAAGAAAAGAAACAGCCGGAAAAGAUUAAGGAUGCCUUGAAACCCUCGAAAGCUUCCAACUUACUUGCACUCAUGAAGGCAAAGCCUAAGAACCACAGCCUCUUCGAGGUGGUGCAGCGAGGGUUCUCUCCCAUUUUCCUUCCCCCACUUGAACUUCCACAUGGUCUCAAUUAUGAGCCACCACAGUUGGAGUCAGUUGAGGGAGCCAUUGCAGUCAUGCGUGCCUUGCUUUCUACCCCCCCGCCCCCCAAGGGAGCAGGAUUUUCAGAGUACAGGAUGAAGAUCCCAUGGUUGAGGGGUCAGUGUGCACACGUGGAAAGGCUAAGAUGCCAGGUGUUUUCUGAGCCGGAUGUGCCUUGGAGACAGUCGGCCAGGAGGCCUUGGGUGGUUGAUACUUGGUGGCACCACCUUGAGUAGGUAUUUUCAUGGAAAGGGUAAACUUUCCUAUGUCUGGAAAGAAAAGGCACAUGUGCUGCUCCUUGACUUUGGGGACAAAUGAGCGAGUCAAGUUCAAAAUCAGGUCUGUAGCCUUAGAUUUCUGUUGCCCCUCCCUGUCCCAGCACAGCCAGUAGAGCUUCUCUCUCACUGCCCUUGAAUUACAGUGAUGGUGAGGAGACAUCUUCCUUUUAAUGCCUUUGCUCAUAAAAUCCCUUCAUAUGGAGAGGUCUAUAUUGUGGACCCCUCUUCCCUUAAACGUGCUGUUCGUUAAUUUUCCAAAAGCAAAAACUACGGAAAGACAUUCUUAGUUGCCAACCACAGUUCCCACUUGUAGAAUGACGGUGUUAGUGACAGCAGCAGAAGGGGCAGAAGGACAAACUGGAGGUGGAGGGGGACGGACUCUGUGGUGGUGAGGUGGCAUUAGCUGAGGAGUGCGGCUGGGAUUCAUGCAUUCUUCCAAAGACACAUGCUAUUCACGAGCACUGUGCCAGGCCCCGAGACAGGAACAGGGGAUUAAAAAGCGCCCACAAUAGGCAAAAUCUUAAUGAAUGAGAGACUUUCUGACUGUGGUAAGUGCCAGGAAAGAGAUCAGUAAGGACGCGGAUGAACAUUAGCGAUCUGCUUAUGAGGUGCGGAGGCCAGAGCCGUCCGGGACACGGCAGGUGCAGUGAGACCUAAAAUGACCGGCCAGCAGCGUGGAGACGGAGUAGCAGGGGGAAAUGGCCUUUGAGAAAGAGCAGCAUGGUCCUGGACCUGGGGGUGGGGUGUAAAGAGCGUGAAUGUUCGCCAACACGGAGUGAGGGUGAGCAAACAAACGGGGAGCCCGAGGGGGAGGGGCAUGUAUGACUUUUGGACAAAUAAGGGACUCAAGAUAAAAAUCAUGUCUGCAGUCUCGUAUUUUUGUUCUCCUCCCUGCAGGAGGAAACACCUCCAGGGUCUCGAGGGCCGAAGGACCCACAUUUUAAAUUUUGUCAUAACCUCAACGGAAAACCACAGAAAGAGUUUAAGCAGCAGAAUGGCACUUCGUAUAUCCAUUUUUCAAAGGUUCCUUUGGGUUUCUUUACGGGGAUACGCUGAGGGGGAGUGGGGCAUCCUCUCAGAGCUUAUGGCAGUGGUGCAGGUGAAAGACCACGGAGGCCAGGCAGGUUGAGGCAGGGGACAUGGAGAGAGGUUGUAACAAGGUUCUAAUCGGCAGAGUCUGUUUUUCAGAGCUGGAACGUAGUCCUGAAUGUAUUUUUUUGUUUCUGAAAAUUAGACUCCAAAAAGCUAGGGUUUGUAACUAUGAUUCUAAAAUGUAACGAAAGUAUUUUCAAAUAUCUGGCCACUGUACCAUUUCCACCAGUUUUCUCAUUAGUAACACUGAGAGUUGGUUAAUUAUCUAUGAAAGUAGAGACUGGAAUUUUUAACCUAAGAAUCUUUUGGAGGGCACUUGUUAAAAAAGCACAUUCUUGGCCUUGGCGUGGAGCUCAGGAAUUUGCUUUGUACUGAGAACCUCAAGGAAUUCAGAUAUGUUUGAGGCACACUUUGAGAAGUAGAGUGUUAAGCCUGGCAGUUCGAUUCUGCCUCCUGCUGGUGGUCUUUUAUGUAUAUACUGUUAUGUCUGUAGUGGUUGCUUUUCCCCUGAGGCAAUAGUCUGGAUGGGCUAGGUUGUGCUGCAGAAAAAAAGAACGAAACAUAAUCCUCAAACUUGCAGAGGUUCACAAGGUCAAAGUUCAUCCCUUGGGUUGAGGACAGAGGGCUCUGUUCUGCAUUGUUCUCAUCCAGGAUGCUGAUGGCAACUCUGCUGUCUGGAGUUUUGUUGGCUGCCAUAUUUGGGGGAAGAGGAAGUGGCAGAUCUGGCACUGACUUUUUGUGCUUCCUUCCAGUGAUAACCAGGGUCACUUCCACUCAUGGUUCAUUGACCACACUUAACGCUUUGCAAUCUGCUCAGGAGCCCAGAAGGAGAAGGAAAUGAGUCUCAGAGACAGUGGCAACAUCAGUCCCAGGGGAUCCGGGAGGCAGAGGUAUCAGGCCUGGGCAAAUGGUUGCUCAGCUCUUGAGGAACACCGGGCAUCUAUGGAUGGGGAGGCACUACGAGAACUGAAAGAGUGGUAAUCAUUUCCAGAGUUGCCAAUAACCUCCCUGAAGAAAUUUCUUAAUCUUUUAGAAGUAUUUUAUAUCUCUGAGGGUUAAUUGAAAAAUAGCUAAUGUAUAUUAACAGAAAGUCUCCUAAUUGAAGUUUCUUUAAACAUCUGAUUGUAUUUGCAACAAGGAACACUGCAUGGGAAUAAAAGGGUCUAUGCUGGUCAAGUCGUGUGAUGGAAUUAGUGGUACCCAGUGCUGCUCCCUGACCCUGGUACUUAGGGAGGGCGAGAGGGCAUCAGUCUCCUCUCUUCUAGCCCCACUUGUCAGUUAAUGGCUCUACAACAUGCCUCAUUUCUCUGCACCUGUUUCCUCUUCUGCACGAUAAGUUGGGGAAAGACAAUAGAUCGCUAAUGUCUCUCUCAGAAGAACCCAAAAGAUUCCAUCCUGAUGUGUUGCAAUAUGGUGAAUAGUUUAGGUCACUCCUUGUAUGGAGGAAUCACAAACCAGGUUACAAAAUUGUGUUUUAAGCUUCUGAGAAGCAUUUUGCAAUACAACUUACUGCAAAGGAGCAAAAGUGUCUCCUACUAAACAGAUGCUAAAAAUUCACCAUGGACUGUAACUUAGGAUGUACUUUAUUAAUUGGGUUUGCAUUUCCCUUUUCCCACUUAUUGGAUGUGUGCCUUUGAGAAGUUGUUUAAUCCUUAGAUCUCUCAUCAGCAGAAUGGAUUCUAAUUUAUUUCUAAUGUUCUUGAGAGAAUAACAUGAGAUAAUGUGACAAUGGGCUUAACACUGCGUCUAAGACAUACUGAUAGCUGUUUCAUGAAUGCAAAAUAAAUGAAAUGCCC